AAGCUCUGAUUAUGGUGAUACUUUCAUGAAUGCCAUGGAAGAUGAAAACGUGUUAUUAUUGGAGAAUAUUGAUGUUCUUCUAGCUGAGCACAAGAUUGAAGAAGCAAUAGAGGCAAUAGAUGCUAAAGAAAGAAGUCAACCUGAGCUGAAAAGUUCAGGAGAGACUUCAUCUUGCAGUAGUUUUAAUAUUGAUGUUCUUCUAGCUGAGCACAAGAUUGAAGAAGCAAUAGAGGCAAUAGAUGCUAAAGAAAGAAGUCAACCUGAGCUGAAAAGUUCAGGAGAGACUUCAUCUGCUGAACCAUCAUCUUUUAAGUCUGCUUUGUCUAAAAGAAAAAAGAUGCUCGAGAAUCAGCUGGUUGAGAUCACAGAACGACCCUCAAUUGAUAUUGUCGAACUUAAGAAGUC
rnacentral:lncRNA from 1 species